AUAUUCUAUUUAGACUAUUUCCU
rnacentral:tRNA from 1 species